GCUAUCCUAAUAUAAUUAAUAUAUAUGGCUUCCAACUAUUAAAUCUUAGCUAAUACCUAAGGGAUAGCA
rnacentral:tRNA from 1 species